CCUACGGGGCGCAGCAGUGGGGAAUAUUGGACAAUGGGCGAAAGCCUGAUCCAGCCAUGCCGCGUGUGUGAAGAAGGCCUUCGGGUUGUAAAGCACUUUCAGUGGGGAAGAAAGCCUUGGGGCUAAUACCCUCGAGGAAGGACAUCACCCACAGAAGAAGCACCGGCUAACUCCGUGCCAGCAGCCGCGGUAAUACGGAGGGUGCGAGCGUUAAUCGGAAUUACUGGGCGUAAAGCGCGCGUAGGCGGUCUGAUAAGCCGGUUGUGAAAGCCCCGGGCUCAACCUGGGAACGGCAUCCGGAACGGUCAGGCUAGAGUGCAGGAGAGGAAGGUAGAAUUCCCGGUGUAGCGGUGAAAUGCGUAGAGAUCGGGAGGAAUACCAGUGGCGAAGGCGGCCUUCUGGACUGACACUGACGCUGAGGUGCGAAAGCGUGGGUAGCAAACAGGAUUAGAUACCCUUGUAGUC
rnacentral:rRNA from 1 species